rnacentral:lncRNA from 1 species
UGACGAGCGGUCGGCCACCAAGCCACCAAUUUCGUUGCAAGGCCGUCGUACCACCACUACGUGUCACCUUCUUGUUUUUCGUCUGAUUGGAUCAGUCUUGUUGCGUGGAUCUCGAAUGUCGGAUCUGUGUUGUGUUCGGAUUACUAGCGGAACUGUUUAUCAAUCCAUCAUGUGAAUUCUUGGCAUUUUAUUGAGUCAAGAGAUUGAAGACCGAAGACGAAAACAAACCGGAUUGAAGAUGAGAUCUUGAUCUAGUAGGAGCUGAUUCAAUAAUGGUUAUUUUGUCCCUUUGUGAGACCAGUUCGGUUUACGUUUAAAUGGUUCAAACGAAACCAAACAAAUUCACUAGUGGCUCGAUUCAUAUGUUCUGUGGUUUUAUUUAUUGUAAAUAGUUGUAACCGACAAAACUAGUUUUUACAAUCAUAAAAUGAUGAAUUAAAGUGUUUUAGUUUGCAUAGGUAAUUUAAUAAAAAGGGUUUUAUUAAAAGAUAACACUUUUCUUAAAUUAGAGUAAAUUACAAGUUUUGUCCUUUAUGUUUACACCAUAUUACAGGUGUUGUCCUUUAGCAUUUUUUGGUUAA